CCUACGGGAGGCAGCAGUUUCGAAUCAUUCACAAUGGGCGAAAGCCUGAUGGUGCGACGCCGCGUGAGGGAUGAAGGUCUUCGGAUUGUAAACCUCUGUCACCGGGGAAGAAACGCUUCAAGUUAAUAGUUUGAAGCCUGACUUAACCCGGAGAGGAAGCAGUGGCUAACUCUGUGCCAGCAGCCGCGGUAAUACAGAGACUGCAAGCGUUAUUCGGAUUCACUGGGCGUAAAGGGUGCGCAGGCGGCCAAGUGUGUGAGGCGUGAAAGCCCGGAGCUUAACUCCGGAAUUGCACCUCAAACUACUUGGCUAGAGCAUUGGAGAGGGUAGCAGAAUUCACGGUGUAGCAGUGAAAUGCGUAGAUAUCGUGAGGAAUACCAGAGGCGAAGGCGGCUACCUAGACAAUUGCUGACGCUCAGGCACGAAAGCGUGGGGAGCAAAAGGGAUUAGAUACCCCUGUAGUCCACGCCCUAAACGGUGCACACUAGGUCUUGGCGGAUUCGACCCCACCAGGGCCCCAAGCUAACGCGUUAAGUGUGCCGCCUGAGGACUACGGCCGCAAGGCUAAAACGUCAAAUGAAUUGACGG
rnacentral:rRNA from 1 species